AUCGUUUCUCGGCCUUUUGGCUAAGAUCAAGUGUAGAAUGGAUAAACAGUGAGGUCCUGCUAUAUAGCACAGGGAACUAUAACCAGUCUCUUGGAAGAGGCCAUGAUGGAGAAUAAUAAUAAACUAAGGAAUGUGUGUGUGUGUGUGUGCGCGCGCGUGCACGUGCAUGAAUGACUGGGUCAUUUUGCUAUACAGCAGAAAUUGGCACAACAUUGU
rnacentral:snRNA from 1 species